AGGAGACAACCAGCUCAGGGAAGCGUCACAUUGCUGCUGAGUCUCUGAGUCAGUAUCGGAGUUUGAGUCUUCCUGGCUCAAAGCCCAGCAAUCAAUUGAGGCAAUGAAUAAUUUCUGAUUUGACUGCAGGAAUUAUUUUGUGCCUAAGAAAAAUUCACAGUUUUCUUUGAGGAUUUGGAUAUCAAUUUUGACUUUAUUGUCUUCUUCUGAGCUUGUGUUUUGAUCUUCCUUGGCUCCAUAAUAACUUUUUCUGAACUGUGACCAGAAUCUAAGAACCCCUGCGUCCUCAAGCACACCUGUGCUAGUAUU
rnacentral:lncRNA from 1 species